UUGCAACCUGUUGUCAAUACCAGCAACAAACUACUCACAUGUAAGUAUUGAAGGAUACAUCUUGGAACGAUGAAGUUUCCAAUCCUCAGGGCAAAUGAUAGAAAACCAGCUGGUGAACAUAAUUGCAACCUGUUGUCAAUACCAGCAACAAACUACUCACAUGUAAGUAUUGAAGGAUACAUCUUGGAACGAUGAAGUUUCCAAUCCUCAGGGCAAAUGAUAGAAAACCAGCUGGUGAAGCUGCUUAUCGCCUCGCGUCGAACUUUUCAGUUCAGGAUAUUAUCUCCUUAUUUUUUGCUAUGUUCUGUUUAGGUUCAUUAUAUGAUGCCGUUUGAACAUUUACCCUUGUUGAUAAAAGAUAAGUAGAUUUAGCAUACUCCUUCAGAGGGCCGCGCCUUGCUCGGUUGGCAAGGUGGUGAGCGAUCCGAGUUUGCCUCUGUGAUGUGUGCUUAUAUUAAGGUGGAUAAAAUCUACCCCGUAACACGCAAAAAGAAAAUGUGGUGCAAUGAGAGAGGAGAUGUAGGGCUAUGUGUGGCACUGGGAAGAAGAAGACACAAAUCCAAGGCGGUGCAAGGGGCACAAUGAGAGCACCAUGGGUGAAACAAACCGUGGUGGGAGGGUGCCACUGGCAUGGACACAUCUAGCUUGCGAGAAGGGUGUUUAACAAAAUCUCAGUUUAGAUUGUUAUGAAAUUUUAGUUUAGACCAUUUGUAUCUAAAACUAUACAUGUUAUUAUGACGGCUAUUAUGAAAAAAAUGAUUUGGUAAUUAGGAGAAGAAAUUCAUAAGAUUACGUGCGUUGCACGUGCACGCUUACUAGUAUAAAUGGGUUGUGGUCGCUUUUUUUCUCUCUAAAUGUUCCCAACCAGUUUUGUGAAGCUUCUAGAGGCUUUUGACCGUCUUGGGCCAUUAUGCUGUCGAAUUGAGCAGCCCCAGAAUUGCGAGCACAGCCGAAUCACGACCGAGCGCUGGCCUAGUUCUUGGGUCGGCCUGAGCGAGGCGCACGAGCGGUGACACUAUCCUCUACUUCUAGUAUCUUAGUUGGUAGUCUCCGCCGAUCAAUUUUUGUUUCACUUAUCAUGAUUUUUUUCGUCCUCCCUUUCACCUUCCACCUGAACCGACGAGCUGCAAAAAAAAAAACUCAAAGUAAACCACCUAGGAUGCCUCUACUUACUCCCCUCGCAAGCAACAGAACCAGACGAAAAAAAAUCUACAAAGAAAAAUCAGCGAAAAAAACGGGCACGACCCGCACGCACGCACGGCAGAACGCACGGUGCCUUGAGCGACUACCUCCCGCACGCAAAAAAAAACGCACCCACCACCUCCGCUCUCCUCCUAGGGCGACACUGGGGCGCCCCCCAACCCUAGCCGUCACAGACCCCCACCACAACCACGCCUUCGCCGCCGGUGGCGGCGAAGGCGGCUCCUCAAAGCAGGGACGCGUCUCCCGUCGAAAUCCAAGUCCGUUCGCGCGAGCUUCUCCGCCCCUCGAUCCGAUCUUCACCUUCGCUCAUGGUGGCCGUCAGCUGGCCUCCCGCCGGCGGCCAACUUGAUCUGCGCGGCACUCGGCUGCCCGCAUGGCCCACCUCCUCCCCAUCGCGGCACUCGUUGGCCGCCGUUGGGCCUGCUUGCGGCGCACAGGUCGGGUCACGCGCGACGGCUACAUCAUCGCCGGAUCUGUCUUUCCGUCCGACUGCGACCCCAACCCCAGCACCCUCAAUCCACCGCCCGCUUCCCCCACUCCCGCUUGACUCCAUGGGGCCCUAAGGUCGAUAGCGCCGAGGAGGAGUCAGAGACGGCACUGGGGGAAAGAGCAGCGAGGCCGGAGGCCCAGACGGCGCUCGCGUCAUGUGUCUAACGCUGCUCGUCGACCCUCGUUAUCGUCCUCAAUCUAGCAUGAUGUGUGAAGAUCUGAGACAGAAAAGAAGAUGAAGAAUUUUGACAAAGAGUUGGGUCAUGGGGAACAAGCAGGGUUUAUUUCCUCGGUUAGUUGCUGGGUCAUCUAUGUCGUUGACUAUUAAGGUUACGUUCCUUCCCACUCCCUCUUUUGGUUUCUUCCUGUUGGAAGUGAUGUGGCCUAAAUCUUUCUUUGUCACCCUUUUGAUAUGUGUUCUUAUGAAAGAUAGUGAUUGGAGUU